ensembl:snRNA U7 U7 small nuclear RNA
AAGUGUUAUAGUUCUUUUAUUAUUUGUCCAGUGGGUUCUUAGUGAGUAGGAGCUCCA